GCCUGGGUGGCUCAGUCGGUUAAGCAUCUGACUUCAGCUCAGGUCGUGAUCUCAUGGCUUGUGAGUUCGAGCCCCGCAUCGGGCU
rnacentral:tRNA from 1 species